GUCAGUUGCUGUUCUGAUAAAAAAGAUAACUGAGAGACAGAGGAAGAGUCUUAUGUUUGAAAAGCUAACUGCAGUAUUUUUUUCAUGAAAAUUUAGGGCUGUGUUUGAGGAUCAAACUUCAGCGAUGUUUACCUUUCAAGCACAAGCUGGAAAUCUACAUAUCAGAGGGGGCACAUUCUAUCGAGGAAGACAUCAACAAACAAAUCAACGACAAAGAGAGAGUCGCAGCAGCCAUGGAGAAUCCCAGUUUGCGGGAGAUUGUGGACCAGUGUGUGCAGGACCCCGACUGACUUGGAAUAUCUGCCUCCUUUGUAUCAACUUCUUUCUAUAUAACGUUAUCUUGAAUUUAAUACUAAAAAUUACCUUGAAGGCAUCGUUUUGAAAUCAUCCAGUUAAUUGCAAACGAGCGUGAGCAGGCCUGAUCAACCUCAGAUGAACUCUAUAGAAUGAAAAAUUAAUAUUCUCUUAAAGUUGAUAUUUCUAAAUAUGAAUAAUUUUUAUUGCCAACUUAUGAAAAAGAGAUUGGACAACCAGUCUGGAAUGAUAUUCAGGUCUCCUGCUCAAGCGGGGAGUUAGAUUAGAAGAGCUCCAAGGUCCAACCCUUCUUUGUUCGCUUAAUGUGUGUUGUAAUUUUUAAAAUGUGAUUUUAAUUGAUUUUUCCGCUUCCUUAAUGAAGUAUAUGUAAAUAGCUACUCUGUUAAGGGUGAAUCAAAUACAGAAUUGUUGA